GCUGUGAGGAUGCAAGAACGAAGCGUAAGCAGCUGUGCUUGGUCAGAGGAAGGGUUCCAGGAAAGCCACACGGAAGAGAUAGCAUUGGACUGUGACCAGGACUAAAAAGAUGAUGUUGCCUUGGCAGACAACUGGAAAAACAUCAUAAGCAGAGAGAACAAUGUCUAAAAUAUCAACCAAGGUAUUUUGCAACCAGUUACGACUCUGAUUCUGAUUUUCAUGCUUCCUACCUCUUUCGCCUUGGAGUACUGCACUCCCCUCAAUCCUCACCCAAGCUGUUGGGUUGACACAGGAGGAAACUGAAGCCCAGAGGACAUAAUUUAUCUCCCUCCUUGAUACUGGCAUGUGAAGAAGCUGAGGCAGAAGCUGAAGGAAUGGCCACAGGCGCCAAGGAUGGCCAAGGAGGCCCUUGAUGCUUCUGGUCCUGCUGGGACCACUGAACACACAUGGACCUCUCUGCAACUUGAGCAAGGGAGGGUCAGGCUGGGUGACAAAGGCAUGAGCAGAGCUGCCCAGGGUGUCUCUGUGCAUGUUCAUCCCAGUCUUAGCAGAGCACAAUUUCAAUCCACGUUUCAGAUUCACCCAGAUGCCUUGGAUAAUUUGUUUUGGAAAACAUAUAUUGAAGUUACCAGAGCCACAGUAUGACAGAAGACUGGGUCCCAGAAUCAGAACUGCAAGGAAAGUCAUGCACUAAUGAAGAAAACAAUUCUUAAGGCUUAUGUGAGCUGAAAACAAACUUGUCAUGUUGCUGCCUUCAUCCAUUUUUAGAAGAUGUUUGUCCCCAGUAGUGCUACUCUAAUAAAAUACAUCAUCAACACAGUAACUUAAACUGGUCUCAUUAUAAAUCCUAGCUCUCCUAUCAUCGCAGUUUAAAUCCAGCCUACUGAUGUGGAAAGGCAUAUAAAUGCCUUCCAGAUUCUGAAAGGCAUAAUUUUCUUCACUUAUUUCAGGUUUUACUAAGGAUUCCAUACCCUUUGCUUCUGUUGAAUUAUUUCGUAGACACUAUUUUGUAAAGUAGAUAGAAGAGGUGCCUAGGAUUUAGGGUUUUUAAUGUCUUUCCAUCUUCCCAGGAUGCCUAUAUAGUAAUCAUUUAAAAUACAAGACAAUCCAAUAACAUGACAUGAAGCUUUCCACGAACUCAAAGAACCAAUGAGAAUAGACUUCUCUAAAAUAUUGGUGAACAAAUGAAUACUUGCCAGAGUCAGAACAAUGCAUUUUAAUUGAAUUAUUGCACUCACCAGGCAUUCCUGAGCCAAAGCACUUUUCCUUUUUUAAGUAACAAUUUUGUCUUUUAAAAAGUGUAUUUCUAGCUUGACAUAAGCAUGACUUUUUCUUUCAUGUGUCAUGUAUAAAUGGAGCAAUUUAUUUUCUUUGGACUCACAGAGUAAAUCCUCAUCUUUGCUUGUGCUGAUGGGGUGCAGGCCUGUGUGGGAGGAAUUCUGUGAAUGUGGAGCUUUCCCGUGGGUGCAGAGAGAGUUUGAUGGGAGCUGAUGAGGUGUGUGUGUUCUUCAGACUUAUCAACCACCACAUGAUGCUGGAAGAUGAGCCAGUGAAUCUGUGGGUGUUGAGCUUGUUGGAUAUUCUGGAUGCAGGUUUUUUUUUUUUUUUUAAUUUACAAUUUAAUAAAACCCAGCUGACAAGCUUUUUUUGUAAAUCGUGUUUAUGAGAUAUGAGUCAGUGAUGACAUAUCCGUAAGCGAUUCCAAUGAAAGGAAAACCUUUCAGGCAAGCGGCCCUUGGUUUUGUGGGAAGCUUAGCCAAGCAUGUUGCUCUAGCCUCUGGGGUGAAUUCUUUCCUAGCUUCAGUGAGAUGAGAAAAUCUUCAGAGCACAUUCCAAGAUGGGGCUUUUUUUUUUUUUUUUUUUUCUGUGAGAGGGUGAAGAUAGAGACCAGUUUGGUUUGGUGGUUGUCAUUCCGACUUUCCACACUGUCAUAACUAGGACAUGGCUGUGAAAGAACAUCUUGAAGACGAAGCAAACCCUGUUUUAGUAGCCGGAAAUAUUUUGUUUAGUUUUAGUUUAGUUUUUUGUUGUUGUCGAAGCUUUCAAAAGUCUUCUCUGAAAGUGGUUCUGUGUAGUAGGGGGGGGAGAGACAACUUUGUUGUUUUCUAAGAAACAAACAAACAAAAAACCUGCUUCUUUGAAUCUCCCAAAUGCAAAAGCAAAGAUACUUUCCUUGUACCUUCCUCCAAUUCCUGCCGUACGGGUUUGCUCUCAUCAGACUUCUCUCCUUACUGUGCCAUCCAACGAAAUGUCAUGGUCCUUGAAUGGUUUUAUUAAAUAUCAGUUGGCAAAUACGUAUGCAGUCGUGAGGCACAGGAAAUAGCAAACCAUCCUAAUAUCCUCUAAAUAAGAUGAACAUUUCACUUGAGGGAAGGUAUUGCAGAUGCUCCAACUUGAGGAAGAGAAUACACACUCUAUAAAUUGAAACCUUUCAUUGUAGUUUUUAAAAAUCUCGUAUUUUCAUUAGGAACUGGAAAUAAGAUCAAUUUUCUCUUGGGACCUAUAUUGAAAAACAGAGAGAGACAAAUAUAACCCAGGCAUACCGGAAUUGAUGGGCACUCAAGUAGGGAUUUUUUUUUUUAAAUAAAAACUUACCUGCCCAUGGUAUGGUUAAGCUUGACUCAACUGCAACAUGAUUUUUGUCAUUGUUAGAUGCCAUAAGGUAUUGUAUUAACAGCCUAACCUACAUGAGAGAUCGUAUGCCUCAGGAGUUCAAACAUAUCAUCAACAUUAUGGCUAGAACCAAGGUUUUUAACAGGUCAGGCUACUUUCAGGAAAACUCUUUCAAGUGUCAUAUGUAUACAAUGUUUGGAAUUCUUAUUUAACGCAUUCUAUUAUUUAGAGGGCUUGCUUCUAUUUUUC
ensembl:lncRNA